AGCUUGAUUGCAAGACAUACAGGUCGAGCAAGGAUGAAAAUCGGACUGAGUGAUCCGGUGGUUCUGCGUGGAAGGGCCAUCGCUCAACGGAUAAAAGCUACCCUGGGGAUAACAGGCUUAUCUCCCCAAAGAGUCCACAUCGACGGGGAGGUUUGGCACCUCGAUGUCGGCUCAUCACAUCCUGGGGCUGUAGUAGGUCCCAAGGGUUGGGCUGUUCGCCCAUUAAAGUGGUACGCGAGCUGGGUUCAGAACGUCGUGAGACAGUUCGGUCCCUAUCCGUCGCAGGCGUAGGAAAUUUGAGAAGACCUGUCC
rnacentral:rRNA from 1 species